GAUGACGUUAUUGAGCUGAAUUAUUGCAAUACAAGAGAUCAGUUAGCAGACAUCAUGACAAAGCCACUUAAAGUUGAAGAAUUCCAACAUAUGUUAAGUGCUUUAGGAAUGCUUGAUGAGUCUGAGAUAAACGGUUGCAAGGAGGAUACAGUUUAAGGGAGGAAUUGUUGAAUAAGUCAGUUUGAUUUUUAGAAUUAUUUCCAUUGUUUGUUUUUAAUUAAUUGUUUGUUGCUUUCAAU
rnacentral:lncRNA from 1 species